rnacentral:rRNA from 1 species
GAUGAACGCUGGCGGCGUGCCUAAUACAUGCAAGUCGAGCGAACGGACGAGAAGCUUGCUUUUCUGAUGUUAGCGGCGGACGGGUGAGUAACACGUGGAUAACCUACCUAUAAGACUGGGAUAACUUCGGGAAACCGGAGCUAAUACCGGAUAAUAUUUUGAACCGCAUGGUUCAAAAGUGAAAGACGGUCUUGCUGUCACUUAUAGAUGGAUCCGCGCUGCAUUAGCUAGUUGGUAAGGUAACGGCUUACCAAGGCAACGAUGCAUAGCCGACCUGAGAGGGUGAUCGGCCACACUGGAACUGAGACACGGUCCAGACUCCUACGGGAGGCAGCAGUAGGGAAUCUUCCGCAAUGGGCGAAAGCCUGACGGAGCAACGCCGCGUGAGUGAUGAAGGUCUUCGGAUCGUAAAACUCUGUUAUUAGGGAAGAACAUAUGUGUAAGUAACUGUGCACAUCUUGACGGUACCUAAUCAGAAAGCCACGGCUAACUACGUGCCAGCAGCCGCGGUAAUACGUAGGUGGCAAGCGUUAUCCGGAAUUAUUGGGCGUAAAGCGCGCGUAGGCGGUUUUUUAGUCUGAUGUGAAAGCCCACGGCUCAACCGUGGAGGGUCAUUGGAAACUGGAAAACUUGAGUGCAGAAGAGGAAAGUGGAAUUCCAUGUGUAGCGGUGAAAUGCGCAGAGAUAUGGAGGAACACCAGUGGCGAAGGCGACUUUCUGGUCUGUAACUGACGCUGAUGUGCGAAAGCGUGGGGAUCAAACAGGAUUAGAUACCCUGGUAGUCCACGCCGUAAACGAUGAGUGCUAAGUGUUAGGGGGUUUCCGCCCCUUAGUGCUGCAGCUAACGCAUUAAGCACUCCGCCUGGGGAGUACGACCGCAAGGUUGAAACUCAAAGGAAUUGACGGGGACCCGCACAAGCGGUGGAGCAUGUGGUUUAAUUCGAAGCAACGCGAAGAACCUUACCAAAUCUUGACAUCCUUUGACAACUCUAGAGAUAGAGCUUUCCCCUUCGGGGGACAAAGUGACAGGUGGUGCAUGGUUGUCGUCAGCUCGUGUCGUGAGAUGUUGGGUUAAGUCCCGCAACGAGCGCAACCCUUAAGCUUAGUUGCCAUCAUUAAGUUGGGCACUCUAAGUUGACUGCCGGUGACAAACCGGAGGAAGGUGGGGAUGACGUCAAAUCAUCAUGCCCCUUAUGAUUUGGGCUACACACGUGCUACAAUGGACAAUACAAAGGGCAGCGAAACCGUGAGGUCAAGCAAAUCCCAUAAAGUUGUUCUCAGUUCGGAUUGUAGUCUGCAACUCGACUACAUGAAGCUGGAAUCGCUAGUAAUCGUAGAUCAGCAUGCUACGGUGAAUACGUUCCCGGGUCU